UUUGAUUUCUGGAAGUUAUAUUCAUUAACUGUGUUUUCCAGUAGUAAUUAGGAAAAAAACUUUCAGUAGAGAGGAUCUUUAGUGUAGCGAGUAGGGGUCCAGACAAGCUGGAGGUGCACCAUCUUUUUUCAUAGCUAGUCUACAGGACAGAGGAACCUCUGAAAAACCAUUGUAUUAUAGCAGUGUAAGAGCAGGAGAGAAAAAGAUGGGAUCUCUGUGGUCCUAUUUGAUGGACAGGAAUUUAUCUUGCUCAUAGUCCAUCAUAUGGAACACUGGGAAGGCUGAGACAGUAUGCCUUAAAUUAUUUGUAAUAGUCCUUGGAGUAUUUAUAAAGAGCUUGAUCGUAAUAUUAGAUUUCAGAGACCUAUUCUGCAGUGAGUUAGUAUUUUUUUUUAUCAAUGACAAGAUAAAACAGAAUAAAAGCCCAUCUAGAAUAAUGCCUUAUACAAUAUAGGAAAGAUAACAUCUUUGAUGGAGAGAAAAACCUUUGUAAACUGUACAGAUAGGAGAAAAAAAUCUAAAUGCUCCUUCAACACUUAACAGAAAACAGUUUUCCUCUCAGAUACUAAAGGACUAAUGGAACUGCUUUUGGAAUAGGUUUUAGGCUUGUAGUCAGAACAAGGACAUUGGGCAAAUGGUAGACAAAAUGAAAGAAGAUAAGCUGAGUGGGAGGGAAAGGAGUUUCCUUAGAAGAAAGUUUGAGUCCAUAAAAGGCAGGCCAGGCAGAUAUACAAGGGAGCAGGACAUUCCUAUAUAUAAAUGGCCUUAAAGAUAUGACUAAACAUCUUCAUUAAUAGAGGGCAAAAAGAAGGAAGAAUGGGGAGGACAUCAUGUCCAGGGAAGCAUGGAUCUGUUGUGGGGGAAACUGUGGACUCAAUGUGACAGUUGUCCAUGCUCAGCAGCAGGGCUGGAAACUUGUGUCCUCAUACUGUUAAGAGUAGGCAGAUAGGUUCUAAGAGACCUCUGGAGACCAGCACUAAGGAAGUCUUGGCCAGCUAUCAGGAAGCUCAGAGUCCUGUCCUGACAGUGGUCCACAAUAGGCCAGAUCAAACCAGAUAAGCCCAAUAUGCAGAUGCCGUAACAGGAAACUCCUGACCAAAUUAGGAAGAAAAAGGAGGAAACCCACUUUUCACCCCAAGUAAUGAAUAUUCUGCCCCCUAGUUAACAACUCUCAAUGAAAGAUAAAAAUCCAAUGGCCUGGGCACACAUCUCUCUCUUUCCUCUGUCUCUCUUGAGGUCACCUGUUCUUAUAUCUCACGUGUAUUUUUCACUUUAAUAAACUUUCCCACUUGUGUCA
rnacentral:lncRNA from 1 species